rnacentral:ncRNA from 2 species
GAAAAGUUUGAUUCUUGCUUUUUAAUUUAUAUUUUGAAUUAUCUUUUAUGUAAGGUUUUCCUUUAUUUUCUAAAUGAUUAAAAUUUCAGUUUUUAAUUUUAGUUUUUAUUUAAUGAUAAAACUAGAUUUUCAAUUAUAACUGACAAAUUUUGUGCCAGCCGUCGCGGUUAUACAGUUAGUUAAAUUAAAUUUUAUUGAUUAAAUAUUUUUAAUUUUUUUUGUAUGUUUAAUUAAAAUUUUUAGGUGGAAUUUUUAUUUUUUAUUUAUGUAUCGGUUUUUAUUUAUAUAUGAAAAUUAUUAAUAAACUAGGAUUAGAUACCCUAUUAUUAUAAUUGUAAAUUUUUUUAAUAUUAAUAGUUAUGUUCUUUAAAUUAAAAGAAUUUGGCGGUAAUUUAAUCUUUCUAGAGGAACCUGUCCUGUAAUUGAUAAUCCACGAUUGAUUUUACUUUAAUUUUGUUUAUAUAUCGCUGUCAUUGAAUGUUUUAAAAGAAUAAUUUUCUUAAAUUUUUAUGGAUUUAAUGUUAGGUCAAGAUGUAGCUAUAUUAAAGAAGAGAUGGGUUACAAUAAAUAUAUUUUUGGAUUAAUAUUUUUUAUUUAUUAUGAAAUUGGAUUUAGUUGUAAUUUUUAUAAAAUUAUAAUUUUGAUUUUAGUUCUAAAUUAUGCACACAUCGCCCGUCACUCCCAUUUUAAGUUGGGAUAAGUCGUAACAAAGUAGGCCUACCGGAAGGUGGGCCUGGAACUUC